CCUACGGGUGGCAGCAGUGGGGGAUAUUGCACAAUGGGGGAAACCCUGAUGCAGCGACGCCGCGUGUGGGAAGACGGUCCUCUGGAUUGUAAACCACUGUCCCCAGGGACGAAGAUGACGGUACCUGGGGAGGAAGCUACGGCUAACUACGUGCCAGCAGCCGCGGUAAUACGUAGGGAGCGAGCGUUGUACGGAAUUACGGGGUGAAAGGGGAGCGUAGGCGGGACUGCAAGUUGGGUGGCAAAUCUACCGGCUCAACCGGUAGCCGCACUCAAAACUGCAGUUCUUGAGUGAAGUAGAGGCAGGCGGAAUUCCUAGUGUAGCGGUGAAAUGCGUAGAUAUUAGGAGGAACACCAGUGGCGAAGGCGGCCUGCUGGGCUUUUACUGACGCUGAGGCUCGAAAGUGUGGGGAGCAAACAGGAUUAGAUACCCCAGUAGUC
rnacentral:rRNA from 1 species